CUAAGAAUAUUCCGCAAUGGACGGAAGUCUGACGGAGCGACGCCGCGUGGAUGACGAAGGCCGAAAGGUUGUAAAGUUCUUUUGCUGGGGCAGAAUAACCGCAGGAGGGAAUGCCUGUGGGAUGACAAGAACCGGCGAAUAAGCCCCGGCCAACUACGUGCCAGCAGCCGCGGUAACACGUAGGGGGCGAGCGUUGUUCGGAAUUACUGGGCGUAAAGGGCAUGUAGGCGGCUUGGAAAGCCUGGCGUGAAAGUCUGCAGCUUAACUGCAGGGGUGCGCUGGAAACGUCUGGGCUUGAGUGAAGGAGAGGGAGCUGGAAUUCCUGGUGUAGGGGUGAAAUCUGUAGAUAUCAGGAAGAACACCGAUGGCGAAGGCAAGCUCCUGACCGAUGACUGACGCUGAGGUGCGAAAGUGUGGGGAUCAAACA
rnacentral:rRNA from 1 species